rnacentral:rRNA from 1 species
UCGAGAAUAUUUCGCAAUGGGGGAAACCCUGACGAUGCGACGCCGCGUGGGGGAUGAAGGUCUUCGGAUUGUAAACCUCUGUGUUAUGGGAAGAAUUGUUAGUAGGUGAUAAGCUUGCUAACUUGACGGUACCAUAGUAGAAAGCCCCAGCUAACUGCGUGCCAGCAGCUGCGGUAAUACGUGGGGGGCAAGCGUUGUCCGGAUUUACUGGGCGUAAAGCGUGUGUAGGCGGUUACAUUAGUCGAGUGUGAAAUGGCUUGGCUCAACCAAGCAACUGCGCUCGAUACUGUGUGGCUUGAGUACGGAAGAGGAAAGUGGAAUGUAAGGUGUAGCGGUGAAAUGCGUAGAUAUCUUAUAGAACACCUAUGGCGAAGGCAGCUUUCUGGUCCGACACUGACGCUGAGUACACGAAAGCUUGGGGAGCGAACGGGAUUAGAUACCCCCGUAGUCC